rnacentral:rRNA from 1 species
GACGAACGCUGGCGGCAUGCUUAACACAUGCCAGUCGAACGGAAAGGCCCUGCUUUUGUGGGGUGCUCGAGUGGCGAACGGGUGAGUAACACGUGAGUAACCUGCCCUUGACUUUGGGAUAACUUCAGGAAACUGGGGCUAAUACCGGAUAGGAGCUCCUGCUGCAUGGUGGGGGUUGGAAAGUUUCGGCGGUUGGGGAUGGACUCGCGGCUUAUCAGCUUGUUGGUGGGGUAGUGGCUUACCAAGGCUUUGACGGGUAGCCGGCCUGAGAGGGUGACCGGCCACAUUGGGACUGAGAUACGGCCCAGACUCCUACGGGAGGCAGCAGUAGGGAAUAUUGCACAAUGGGCGGAAGCCUGAUGCAGCAACGCCGCGUGCGGGAUGACGGCCUUCGGGUUGUAAACCGCUUUCGCCUGUGACGAAGCGUGAGUGACGGUAAUGGGUAAAGAAGCACCGGCUAACUACGUG